rnacentral:rRNA from 1 species
UACGUGGGGAGCAAGCGUUGUUCGGAUUUACUGGGCGUAAAGGGCGCGUAGGCGGCGUGACAAGUCACUUGUGAAAUCUCCGGGCUUAACUCGGAACGGUCAAGUGAUACUGUCGUGCUAGAGUACAGAAGGGGCAACUGGAAUUCUCGGUGUAGCGGUGAAAUGCGUAGAUAUCGAGAGGAACACCUGCGGCGAAGGCGGUUCUCUGGGCCUUACCUGACGCUGAGGAGCGAAAGCGUGGGGAGCGAACAGG